rnacentral:rRNA from 1 species
UGCCAUCCGCCGCGGUAAUACGGAGGGUGCAAACGUUGCUCGGAAUCAUUGGGCGUAAAGCGCGCGUAGGCGGCUUGGCAAGUUGGAUGUGAAAGCCCGGGGCUCAACCCCGGAAGUGCAUCCAAAACUGCCUCGCUUGAGUUCCAGAGGGGCCCAGAGAAUUCCCGGUGUAGAGGUGAAAUUCGUAGAUAUCGGGAGGAAUACCAGUGGCGAAGGCGCUGGGCUGGCUGGAUACUGACGCUGAGGUGCGAAAGCGUGGGGAGCAAACAGGAUUAGAUA